CUCCGGAGUGAGAACAGAAGACGUCAGUUACGGACAAAUAGUGAACAAAGACAAGAAAUCAAACAGGAAGAGAGAGAGGGAUCCUGCUGCAAUCUACUCCGGAGUGAGAACAACAGACGUCAGUUAUGGACAAAUAGUGAUCAAAGACAAGAAAA